GUGAACGCUGGCGGCAUGGCUAAAGCAUGCAAGUCGAACGCGAAUUCACCCGCAAGGGUGAUAGUAGAGUGGCGGACGGGCGAGUAAUACUUUCCUAACGUGCCUCAAGGACCGGGAUAGCUCGGGGAAACCCGGGGUAAUACCGGAUAAACCCAUCGGGUCGCAUGGUCUGAUGGGCAAAGGCUUGAUACCUUGAGAUCGGGGAAAGCACUAUCAGGUAGUUGGUGAGGUAACGGCUCACCAAGCCUAAGACGGUUAGCGGGUGUGAGAGCAUGACCCGCCGCAUCGGGACUGAGACACUGCCCGGACUCCUACGGGAGGCUGCAGCGACGAAUCUUCCGCAAUGGGCGCAAGCCUGACGGAGCAAUGCCGCGUGCGGGACGAAGCCCUUCGGGGUGUAAACCGCUGUCAGGGUUUAACAACACAACUGAGUAAACCCAAAGGAAGGGCCGGCUAACUCUGUGCCAGCAGCCGCGGUAAUACAGAGGGCCCGAGCGUUACGCGGAAUCACUGGGCUUAAAGGGUGCGUAGGCGGGGACUUAAGUGUCUCGUGAAAUCCCACGGCUCAACCGUGGAAUUGCGGGGCAUACUGGGUCUCUUGAGGCUGGUAAGCGCCGCCGGAACUGUAGGUGUAGCGGUGAAAUGCGUAGAUAUCUACAGGAACGCCGAUGGUGAAGACGGGCGGCUGGGCCAGUUCUGACGCUGAGGCACGAAAGCGUGGGGAUCAAACAGGAUUAGAUACCCUGGUAGUCCACGCCGUAAACGAUGUGCACUAGACCUCGAAGGCUCUGACGCCGGCGGGGUCGAAGAAAAAUUGCUUAGUGCACCGCCUGGGGAGUACGGUCGCAAGGCUAAAACUCAAAGGAAUUGACGGGGGCUCACACAAGCGGUGGAGCAUGUGGCUCAAUUCGAAGCAACGCGAAGAACCUUAUCCUGGGCUUGACAUGCACGGAUUAACUCCCUGAAAGGGGAGCCACACUCGCAAGAGUGGAACGUGCACAGGUGCUGCAUGGCUGUCGUCAGCUCGUGCUGUGAAGUGUCGGGUUAAGUCCCUUAACGAGCGAAACCCCUGCCUCUAGUUGCCCACGCGUCAUGGCGGGCACUCUAGCGGGACUGCCGGUGUCAAACCGGAGGAAGGUGGGGACGACGUCAAGUCCUCAUGGCCUUUAUGCCCAGGGCUGCACACGUGCUACAAUGGCGCCUACAAACCGAACCGAAGCCGCGAGGCAGAGGAAAUCGGAAAAAAGGCGCCCCAGUUCAGAUCGCAGUCUGCAACUCGACUGCGUGAAGCCGGAAUCGCUAGUAAUCGCGGAUCAGCUACGCCGCGGUGAAUAUGUUCCUGAGCCUUGUACACACCGCCCGUCACAUCACGAAAGUGGGCGAUACUAGAAGUCGGUGGGCCAACCCGCAAGGGAGGCAGCUGCCCAAGGUAUGGCU
rnacentral:rRNA from 1 species